CAACGAUAUUCAAGCAACAUGCUGAGAUUAACGUUCUUAGCUGUGUAGAAAAAUAGAGACGGCGUAUUACUACUGAAGUCGGUUUUAAUCUGCACACCACAGCUAUGGCUGGUUACAGUACGCGGGCCCCAUACCAAUUGAACCGGGGUGGAGAGCGACCAAUCAUCGGGGCCGGAGCAUGCUACCACGUGUCUAUCUAAUUAGCGGUAUGAGCAUCAACCCCGCUCAUGCCCCCGCAGUUCUAGCCUACAGUUAUACAUCCUACCACAUCGAGCGAGGAUACCAGACAACUGAGAUUAUCCGACUAAGAAGACUAUUUGAAACCAGUUUGUGGGUGUCCUAAACUCGGCUUUCCGAGAAUUGCCCAUUUCAGUUGUAUUUUUAUCCUUACAAAUGAAGCUAUAUGUUCCCUGGAUAGAUGUAGAGGGAGGUUGCGAGAGGUCCAACGGUUUGUACCUUUGUCCAUUUUGUACCACAAUUUGACAUAGAAUUGCCUCACAUGGAUAGAACGAGUUUGAUAGAGUCACAUGGAUAGCGAGUUCGCCGUUGUAUUGUUCACAUCCUGAUGGUACCCUUCCCGAAGAGAAAACGAUUUUAUGUGUAACCGAAGCCACUGUAUCAGCAUCAAUUUCCACCAGAGAAAUGUGCUUCAAACCGUGCUUCUAAAGUUGGCAACUGUCCUUUUUCAGUACCCAUUUUCGCGGUUAAAAACUUUUAUCUCCUUCCCUACUUCAUACUCGAGCCAGUUACGUCGGAUGACACCAAUCUCAGUUAUUAAUCCAGACAAAACCCAGAUCCACCUAAAUCUACUCAGACAACCUAUUAUUAAAAAUAGUUCUCGGUUAUUUCAUACCGCUUUUUUGCAAAUAUCUCGCAAAUCAAAGCCGUCCAGCUGUAACAUGUACAAGAGAAAAUUAUUCAGAAUGAAUAUAACAUAUCUUGAUAACAUAUUUCAAGGUCAUUGAAAUAGGUGAGAAUCCCCUUAUCGUAAAUAACCCUUUCGCUACCAGGCUCUGUGAAGCAAGUCUCACUUGACAUCCCAGGAUAAUUGCGACUAAAAUAUGUUCUUACUUGAAGUAUAACCUUUCUAGAAUAUAUGAUGUGUAACAUUUCAAAUACGCAAAAUAAACAAUUUUACAAACCGACACAUAGAUGCGUCGCUCAGCUUUGGAUAAGAGAUUUGUUCUACAGCCCGCGCGUCGCACAUUUGUGACAUAUUUUAAUAAAAGGAGCAGAAAAAUUGGUAGCGGAAGAACAAAAUAACAAUGUUUCUCGAA